AUGGUUUAUGAUGAAAAUGUUGUCGCCCCAGUCUGAAAAAAUGUGACUGAUCGACAGACUUCUGAUGCUAC